GCGUCAGUGGUAUAAUGGCGUAGAGCAUUCACGCUUGGUCAGCAGGAGGUGCGGGUUCGAGUCCCGCCUGGCGCU
rnacentral:tRNA from 1 species